AACGAACGCUGGCGGCAUGCCUAACACAUGCAAGUCGAACGAGACCUCCGGGACUAGUGGCGCACGGGUGCGUAACGCGUGGGAACCUGCCUUUAGGUUCGGAAUAACUCAGAGAAAUUUGAGCUAAUACCGGAUGAUGUCUUCGGACCAAAGAUUUAUCGCCUUUAGAUGGGCCCGCGUUGGAUUAGCUAGUUGGUGGGGUAAAGGCCUACCAAGGCGACGAUCCAUAGCUGGUCUGAGAGGAUGAUCAGCCACACUGGGACUGAGACACGGCCCAGACUCCUACGGGAGGCAGCAGUGGGGAAUAUUGGACAAUGGGCGAAAUCCUGAUCCAGCAAGGCCGCGUGAGUGAUGAAGGCCUUAGAGUUGUAAAGCUCUUUUACCCGAGAUGAUAAUGACAGUAUCGGGAGAAUAAGCUCCGGCUAACUCCGUG
rnacentral:rRNA from 1 species